GAUGAACGCUGGCGGCGUGCCUAAUACAUGCAAGUCGAGCGAACGGACGAGAAGCUUGCUUCUCAGAUGUUAGCGGCGGACGGGCGAGUAACACGUGGAUAACCUACCUAUAAGACUGGGAUAACUUCGGGAAACCGGAGCUAAUACCGGAUAAUAUUUUGAACCGCAUGGUUCAAAAGUGAAAGACGGUCUUGCUGUCACUUAUAGAUGGAUCCGCGCUGCAUUAGCUAGUUGGUAAGGUAACGGCUUACCAAGGCAACGAUGCAUAGCCGACCUGAGAGGGUGAUCGGCCACACUGGAACUGAGACACGGUCCAGCCUCCUACGGGAGGCAGCAGUAGGGAAUCUUCCGCAAUGGGCGAAAGCCUGACGGAGCAACGCCGCGUGAGUGAUGAAGGUCUUCGGAUCGUAAAACUCUGUUAUUAGGGAAGAACAUAUGUGUAAGUAACUGUGCACAUCUUGACGGUACCUAAUCAGAAAGCCACGGCUAACUACGUG
rnacentral:rRNA from 1 species